AGAGUUUGAUUAUGGCUCAGAUUGAACGCUGGCGGCGUGCUUAACACAUGCAAGUCGAAACGAGAAAGGGAUUGCUUGCAGUCCCGAGUAGAGUGGCGCACGGGUGAGUAACACGUAGAUAAUCUGCCUUCAAGCCUGGGAUAACUAUUCGAAAGGGUAGCUAAUACCGGAUAAAGUCGAUCUACACAAGUAGAUUGAUGAAAGAUUGCCUCUUCUUGAAAGCAAUUGUUUGGAGAUGAGUUUGCGUACCAUUAGCUUGUUGGUGGGGUAAAGGCCUACCAAGGCAACGAUGGUUAGCUGGUCUGAGAGGAUGAUCAGCCACACUGGAACUGGAACACGGUCCAGACUCCUACGGGAGGCAGCAGUGAGGAAUUUUGCGCAAUGGGCGAAAGCCUGACGCAGCAACGCCGUGUGAGGGAUGAAGGCUUUCGGGUCGUAAACCUCUGUCAGAAGGGAAGAACGGGUAAUGGUCCAAUAGGCCGUCUAUUUUGACGGUACCUUCAGAGGAAGCACCGGCUAACUCCGUGCCAGCAGCCGCGGUAAU
rnacentral:rRNA from 1 species